rnacentral:rRNA from 1 species
GAUGAACGCUGGCGGCGUGCCUAAUACAUGCAAGUCGAGCGAACGGACGAGAAGCUUGCUUCUCUGAUGUUAGCGGCGGACGGGUGAGCAACACGUGGAUAACCUACCUAUAAGACUGGGAUAACUUCGGGAAACCGGAGCUAAUACCGGAUGAUAUUUUGAACCGCAUGGUUCAAAAGUGAAAGACGGUCUUGCUGUCACUUAUAGAUGGAUCCGCGCUGCAUUGGCUAGUUGGUAAGGUAACGGCUUACCAAGGCAACGAUGCAUAGCCGACCUGAGAGGGUGGUCGCCCACACUGGAACUGAGACACGGUCCAGACUCCUACGGGAGGCAGCAGUAGGGAAUCUUCCGCAAUGGGCGAAAGCCUGACGGAGCAACGCCGCGUGAGUGAUGAAGGUCUUCUGAUCGUAAAACUCUGUUAUUAGGGAAGAACAUAUGUGUAAUUAACUGUGCACAUCUUGACGGUACCUAAUCAGAAAGCCACGGCUAACUACGUG